AUCAUUUGAUAUGCAGUAAUAACACACCUGUGGUUUUGGCAGUAUAAGUGACAAGUGUUAUAGCCUGUUGCUGGAUUGUAAGGUUUGAUGGGUUUAUGGGAAUUUUAGCUUCUUAUCAGCCACUUAGAAGCAAUAGUGAUACUUUCACUUCAACUUGGGAUUAUUUUAACUGGUAGUAAUCAAAUUUUAUCUUCUCUCAAAGAAAUAAAAUCAUAAGCACCCUCAGUAAGCAUGUUUUAGAUGUGUGGAGAGUGCAUAGCUGGCUAAUGUUUGCAUGCUAUAGUUUGAAAGUUUGGCACAUAGGAACCAUUCUUCUUAAUGAAAUUCCAUUCUUAAUGAAAUCAGUGGUUGUGCUAGCAUGGCAUGUCUGACGUAAUAUGGUUAUAUGUGUGUAGUAUACAUACAUAUUUGCUCUUAAAAGACAAUAUAAAUUCAUUUGUCUACUCUUGUUUUAGGCAACUUGAAGGUAAGUUGAGUUAGCCAAUAAAAAACUUUAAAUUUGGUGUGAUGAGAAAAUGCUGGCUCUCCUGUUUCAGAUUCAGCACAUUCAUUAGUUGAAUACUGAGUGUUUUACGAAGAACUGAAUUUUGCAGUAAAAGUACUAUUUGUAAUUGGAUGUCUUUUAAUAAGUGUAGAAUUGGAGGUACCAGCUUGAAAAUUUUAAAUCUGUUUAUUAUGUCCAAGGUAUUGGAUGCAAUGGUCAGAAAAACACUAGUGUAACAUUUUAAGUAUUCUUGUGUAAAAAUAUGUACUUUUUAAUUGAGUUUUUAUUUUCUUACUGACUUGGCAAAGAACAGUUAAUGGUAGUGGUGGCAUAUUGCUAAGUGGUGGGGAUGAAUUUCCUCAGAUGGUGGCUUUUUAUGAUAAAAUAAACAAAUUAAGACUACUGUGGAAGAUGAUUGUGGUCUAGACCAGAGAUAGAUAGUGGUCUACCGAAGGGUAGAACCUUGUACUGUCUGAAUCUUGGGCAUGUAGUGAUCACAGUGAAUUACAGGGUUAACCAACUCUUCUCUGGUGUCGAGUUUAUUUUCAUCAUUGUUGGCUGAGCAAAUAGGCAUCUUAUUUCUUGCGUGAUAAACACCAAAUAAGCAUUAGUUUGCAGACACGCUUCAGAAGUGUGUUUAAUUAUUUUUGUGCAAAAAUGCAAGGUAAAUUCAAACUUGCAGUGAACUUGUUACCAAAACUUCAGUGUUAUAGGUUACUGUAUAGUAAAAGCUAAGUGUUAAAGUACAAAUGAAACAGCAUGAAACACUUGGAAGAAGUGUGUAACAUAGGUUUUGUUUAUCCAGUGACAGAGGGUUAUGUAUUGACCUGAAAUACACCUAAAUCAAGAUCUACUUUCCUAAAACAAUUUUCUAGUUCUGUCAAUCUAGCAGUAACCUGUGGCCAGUGGAAGAGUUGUUGGUGAGGCAUCCAAAGUUUUCUGUGGCUGUUUAUGGAUCGUUUCUGGAUUUUGUAUCCUAGGCAGAGUUGUCUGGAAUGGAGAGGUUACUCUGUGUAGUGCUGCCGCAGCUGGGGCUUGUGUUGCGAUACAUCAUCCACUAGAUGAGUGUUUAUAUUCUAUCUAGUAAUCAAGGAUAGAUUUAGGUAGCAAGAAGCUUUAGCUGCUGUGUUCUGGUUUUCACUGGAUGCUAGAAAAUGCUGCUCAUUUGAAACUGGUAACGCAGUGGUAUUUAGUUACCUAGUGCCCUUGCUAUGAAGACCAAGCCUUAAGUUAUGGCUGUGAAUCUUAAAUUUCACAAGUUAUUCAUUCAGUGGCUGAAUACCAUGAAAACUGCAGCUAUUACUGAAAAAAAUGUAUUGCUAGAAUAAUUUUCAAAUUUGUAUUAUACAAAUAAAGGUUAAAAACAAGUACACCGCAAGGUAGUGCUCAGUAAUAUCAAUUCCUGAUGAAUAACUUGCUGUAGUUCUUAAAGCUACUGUUCAGCCCUGUAGUCAUUAUGUGUGCGCUGAUGAAUGGGCAAAGGCAUUGCCUUGCUUUUUUCCAUAUUCUUUUAGGGUGAAGGGGGCGGUCUCAAAGUGAAUGUGAGUCACUUCUUAAAUUCUUAUUCCCAAACCAUCUGGCAGAUUUUCUGUAGAGAAAGCAAAAGCCAAGGACUAUAAUAAACACUUGAUAUCAAAUCUCCAGAGUACUUGGCAAGUGGAAAAACGUAAUAAUAUUCAUCUGCUACAGGAAGAAAUUAAUCCUUAGAAGUUAAGCAAUAAGGUAUUGGCAGUCCUGAAACUAAGACCUAGCUAAGGUUUUCUACAGUAUAUGGGGUAUGUUUCUAAUGUAUCUCUGUGUGUGCGUGUAUAUUGAUGUUUAUCCCUGAAAAGAAGGAAUCUGAAGACUUGGGAUAGAAAAUUGCAUGGCUGUUGGUCAGAAUACCUUGAGUUGUGAUCUCCAGCUGAAAAAAUCUGGCCUCCGUUUUCCUGCUUUUUAUUGGUAGGUUAAUAUUUUUAGUGAAGUAAUAAACACUUGCAUAUUUAUCUUCAUGUAUAAUUGUUGGGUUAUGCGAAUAUGCCUAUGUCAUACAUAUAAAUCACAUCCACUUUAUUGUUGUUAUUAAUAAACAGGUCUUCUCAUUGAAGCUGAUUCAGGGAAUAGCUGUUGUCUUAAUUCUGUGGGGUUUUUUCCUCCAUAUGAUAAGUUACUAGUAAACAAUUUUAUAGGUUUUCAAGACUUUAAGAAUUGACUGUGAAUAUGGAAUGGAAUUCACAAUAAUACUUCCAAUCUGGAGGACCACGUGGGUGGCACAUAUUAGCUAGUGUAGUGUAGUUGCAUUUUAAAUGUAUUAAUUUCUGACUCUUAAUGACUAAAUACCCACAUGCUUACUAUGUUACUGUGGGCUAGCAAGUCACUUUUGAAUUACUGUGGAUUACCUACAGGAUAUGUGCCUUUAGUUGCAAAGAAGAAUGUGUUAGCUAUUUUAUUUUUGUGAUUGAAACAGGUUAAGACCUUGCACAGUUGCUUUGCUCCAGUAAAAGGGUGGCAGCUUGCUUAAACCAGAUAACAUAAUUGAUGCCGAGACUAUUAAUCUUUUCUAGCCAUGUAAAUCAUAUGUUAGGAACUAGUAUCAAUCUCCUCAGCAGUAGUACAAAUUAUUUUUUCUAUAUUAUUGUUGACCAGGACAUAGUAACUCUGGUUUGCCAAGUAUAAAGUUAGUCAAUGCUAAUAUUUGAGGGGGAGGAGAGUUGUGGGCUUUUUAUAGGGAGUGCUAGCCUGAGUGUCACAGGGAUACUUUAAAAUAUCUCAAGAAUUAAAAUUCUUAUGGAAAUAAUGCUUCCAUAGCAUUUAGUUUGUCUGAUAUUACUAUGUAAAAAAAAAAAAAAAAAAAAAAAAACCAUUUUUUAGAAGCUUAUUCAUCAGUAAAAUGUGGUUUGAAGAAGCAGAGGAGGGGGGAAAGUCCUUGAUAUACUGAAAAUGAGAGGAAAGGCAUCCAAAUGGUAGCUGUACUUUUAAAUUUAAUCCUUAGAAUUGCUGUGUGGAAUACCAAAAAAACAGUUGAAAAUAUACCUGAUGAUGUUAAGUAUUAUUUGUGUGACAUGCAGUGGAACUUAAAGUGCCUAAAGAGAGGCUGCAGGAGGAAUUUUUUCCUGAAGUGCAAGUGGGACUUAUUUUCUGAGAUUCUCAGCUAAUAGGAAAAUGGGAUUUAAGUUCAUAAAUCACGUGUGUUCUUCUGAAGAUAUUUCUCAGUCUUCUUGAAGAAUAUUUUGGGUGCCCUGUAGAUAACUUCUUUAAAUUGUUUGGCUUGUUUUAUGUCAAAUGAAGAUGAUCAUAUAAAAGAAGCUUACAACUUUG